rnacentral:sRNA from 1 species
CUUCCAGGUGUCCCAGAAACCCAGGAAAUCGAGACUCAUGACUCCCAGAGAGGAUGGCGUCUAGAAGAGCAGAGCCAUUCCCUACUUUGAAGCUGCUGCUGCUGAACUGAAAGCUGCUGCUGCUGCUCGAAUGAGAGCCGCUGCUUCCCGAGUGAGAGACGCUGCUGCCCACCUGGGAGGAACCGGAUGCACCUUGUAGACUAGAGCCAGAUCCUGAGGAGUAGCUGACCUGGGAAUACCCCGUUCCUGGUUUAAA